ACCACCAGUGCCAGUCUCUGCGGGCCACCACGCGCUCCACGCCCCCUACACACGCGAUCGCCACGCCGUGUAACUGGACUCCUCCACGCCGUGUACGCAACUUUUCCACGCCCUGAACUUGACCCUCUUCACGCCGUGUUAACUCGAUUCCUCUACGCCGUGUACGCGACUUUUCCCCUCUUUACUCAACUCUUCCACUCAGUGUACACGCCUCCUCUAUGUCUUGUACUCUGCACGCCAUGUAACACACCAGGUGGAUGUAAAUAAUGACAGGUACUUCAAAAACCUAACUAAACCAUCAACAAUGUAAGACUCAACAUUGUCUCACACUGGAAAACUAACAUCACAGUCCGUCUUCUACAGCCCGUGUGACACCUGGCCCACUAGACGUUCACCAGAGCAACGUCUAAUAUCUCCAUCUGUUUAACGAGGGAAAUAAUUUAGACUUUAUGAGGUAUCACCGAGUCUUAUUGAUGUGAUUCUUGGCGUGCGUGUGUCUCUUACUCUUGACAGACGACUGGGUGUGGGAAAAGUACAAGUAUCUGUCUCAGAGUACUUUUUAUCCGCUUUAUAAGUGUACUUAAUGUUAGUUCUUACUUAUAUACUCAGCAAGAACCUAGAGCUUUGGCUGUUGGUUUUAGCUUCGAGGGAAAACUGUAAUAUGUAGACAUUUAUAUGGAUGACAAACCUGUUGUGUUCACUGUGUGAAGGAGGUGUUGACCUUUGACUCGCUAUAGUGAUGGUAGGGUUAACUUUCACUAAUGAUGGUGACCUUGCAGUGACCCGCGCUAAUGGUGAUGGCUGGUUUAGCUCUAAUAAUGAUAAACUUUGGCACACGCUAGAGAUGAUGGCGAUCGAAUGACCUCUGACCUCAAAACGACACUACAGGACCAUAUUUAAAGUCAGUUUUUGAUUGGCCAAUACGCAGUUGAUCCCCGUGACGGUAGUUUUGGUAACGCACUUCACACGUGGCUUGACCGUCAACCAGAGUCUCGUUCCUGGUGUCUUGAGGAGGAGAAAAUUAUGAGUUUAUGAACGUGGUUUUGAACAACUUUGCCACGCGAUUUAGUUACGAUGGUAUAUCAACAACAACUAAUGGUGGAGGUGUGAUGUAAGAGUGAGGGCUACCCGUUGGUGCAGUGUUGGUGUGGUCAGUCAGCUGGCGACACUCAUCAGUAGUGGAGGGAAGGGCGUCUCUCUCUCUCAGAUCAAGGGUACUGAGAGUGGGACAACCCCGCGUCUCCACAUCCUCCCAGCUGCCGUACCAUAGGCUAGCUCCUCCUAUCAACAGUAUCUGUCAGCGUUAUUAGGAAAGUUUGUGCUGAGCUUGUUGAUUCAGUCUUGAGUUUGUGAUUCACAGCCACUGACUUACAAGGAAAACUAUAAACAUCUAAGAUAAGUAAGAAUAUUGAUGAUGUGAUUAUUGAAGUGUGUUGUUCUAACUCUGGACACAGAGGCAGUACUGUCUCCAUCUAUGUGCGACAGUGUCAAGGGCGACAGUGUCAAGUGGUAGUAAGUAGUAGACAAGUUAGAAAGUAGUGUCACAUAACUAGUUGAAGGACGCCUGUCUCCCCUCUCACAAGAAACCAUUUUAACCCGCAGGACAGCACGCGAGGCACAGAUAAAAAUCUACAGUGUGGAGUGCGGCAACCUCAGUUUCAAGUGCGAGAGUCAUAAGUGCGACAGCGUUCAGCGUGAAAGGAUUCAGUACAAGACAGUAGUAUCUGUGUCGCAGGACAGGUGACGGGAAAAACCCGUGUCCUUGUCGCCUUAUCUACCCGGCGCCACACAGGUAUAAGGUGAGGUGGCUUGGCUGAGGACAAGACUCGUUAAGUGCGAGAGUUACCUGUCGUGACGUCAUCGAUCUGAUCUGUACAACACAGGUAAGUGAGGGAAAUACUGUCACCUUAAUUAGCGAGAUAUAUUAUGCACGUUGGAUAAAAUGUUGGACAAAUGUUGGAGAAAUUGUUGGACAAGCUGUUGGGAAAAUACUUUAUAUACCCUAUUUGCGUCGAUACACCAAGACUAAUAACAGAGAAAGAAGGACGUGUUCAGAGACUCGAGUCCAAAUCAGUUUCGGAUUCUAAAUUCACAGGAAAAAACUAACUUAAGUUUACUAAUGUCUUAUUCAUUCACAAAUUCUGAGUCUCACUUCCUCUCAAAAAUCAGAUGUAAACAAACCGCCACCAUUACAGCAUUCAAGAGAAACGAACUUAAAACGUAUUUUACCUUAAUAGCAUGACAAAGUUCACUGUAAAUACGUAUAUAAACAGUAUAAUUACACAGAGAAUUGAGUAACAAGUUUUAAAAGAUGGUUUAGACAACGUAUUCAAGUAGACAGAGGGAGAGAGAAUGUUUUUAGUGCAAGGGAACAGUUACAGAAGAGAAUCUGUCCAACUCGGUGACGCGCCUAAAAAAAAUGUCUUCAGAUUACCGUAAUAUAUUUCUCCUUGCCAGUGUUGGAGCGUUAAUCGGUGUUUUAUUAGGCCUAGAGUGGGCUGUUUCUCUUGGGGUGUUGUGACUAGUGUUGAAGCGUUAACCGGUGUUGUUUAGGGUUUGUGUUGUGAGCAAUGGUGGAUGGGGUGUAGAUGCUUUAGGGGAAGGAAGGAAGGAGGGAAGAAAGGAAAAGGGAAAG
rnacentral:lncRNA from 1 species